rnacentral:rRNA from 1 species
GACGAACGCUGGCGGCGUGCUUAACACAUGCAAGUCGAACGGAAAGGCCCUGCUUUUGUGGGGUGCUCGAGUGGCGAACGGGUGAGUAACACGUGAGUAACCUGCCCUUGACUUUGGGAUAACUUCAGGAAACUGGGGCUAAUACCGGAUAGGAGCUCCUGCUGCAUGGUGGGGGUUGGAAAGUUUCGGCGGUUGGGGAUGGACUCGCGGCUGAUCAGCUUGUUGGUGGGGUAGUGGCUUACCAAGGCUUUGACGGGUAGCCGGCCUGAGAGGGUGACCGGCCACAUUGGGACUGAGAUACGGCCCAGACUCCUACGGGAGGCAGCAGUGGGGAAUAUUGCACAAUGGGCGGAAGCCUGAUGCAGCAACGUCGCGUGCGGGAUGACGGCCUUCGGGUUGUAAACCGCUUUCGCCUAAGACGAAGCGUGAGUGACGGUAAUGGGUAAAGAAGCACCGGCUAACUACGUG